rnacentral:rRNA from 1 species
AUGCUGGAUCUCCCGGAUUAUCUAAUACCAAGAUUAAAGAUGCGAUUCCAGAAUGUAGAGAAAGCAAGGGAAUUUUACAACAGAUAUGCCAGACACGCUGGUUUUGGAAUCAGGAAGAUAGGAGGGACUGACAAUCACAAGUAUUUUGUUUGUGCGUUCCAAGAGAAACACACAACUUCUGUUUCAUAGGUUGUCAGGAAGCGAAACAAAACAUCACAGAGGACAAGCUGCAAUGCAAGAAUGAGGGUGAAGGUGCAGGAGGAUAACACAUGUGUGUUAGUGGACAUUGAGUACAAUCAUAAUCACCACCUCAUGCAAACUGAUGACAUGCUGGUAUUCUUGCACUCACACAAGAAUUAUGACCCCACUAUUUUGGAGUACGUAAAGCUCUUGCAGUACCAUGAUGUCAAAUAUACAACAAUCAUGUCCAUGCUAUCCUAAAAUGAAGAUGGAAGCUACUUCCUAAGCAUGACCGGACGAGACAACUACUGCAGGAAAGCCAUGAAUGCAAGGAAAGAUGAUUUGGGUGAUGUAUUGAAACUUGUAUAUUUCUUUAAAGACAUGAAGGCAAUCAAUGAUGAGUUUUUCUAUGACAUACAAGUAGACAACGACAAAUCAAUUAACAUUUUCUGGUCUAAUACAAGCUGCCGAGGAGCGUAUCAAGACUUUGGCGAUUGCGUAAUAUUCAACACCAGUUACAAGACCAACAAAUUUCAUAUGCCUCUGGGAGUGUUUGUUGGAACAAACCAUCAUUUGCAGUCAACAAUAUUUGUUGUUGCCUUGAUCAAAGAUGAAAAUGCAAAGUCAUUCAAGUGGUUGUUCGAUACAUUUGUACGGUGGAUGAACAACAAACACCCAACUUGCAUUCUAACAAACCAGUGCCCGUCAAUGGCAAAAGCUGUACCACAAUCAUGCCCAAAUACCAUCCACAAGCUAUGCCAUUGGCACAUCCUGAAGAAGUUCAAGGAAUACCUCGCGUUGCUAUAUAAAAAGUAUAAAACAUUCAAAAAGGAGUUCACAACUAUCUUAAACUGGCCGCUAAUGCCAACGGAGUUUGAAGCUUCCUGGGCUACACUCGUGCAGAAGUACAACCUACAAAAUGACCAGAUGAUGAUACAACUAUGGAGUGAUAAGAAACUGUGGAUAUUAGCAUAUUACAAGAACAUUACUGUACUAGAAUGA